rnacentral:lncRNA from 1 species
AUUCUGGGGAUGAAAGGUCACCCUAGAAUUGCCUAUGGGCAAUUUCUUAUAGUUCAACCUAGAAUGAGAAAUGGGAAAUUCAGAAAGGCAUUGUAGGCAUCUGUAACCAGCAGAGGGACGUGCCCCACCUGGGUGGGGACCAUGCAUCCUUGCCACAUGCCCCACUGCACAACUUCCCCAGCUCCUCAACGUCACAUGGAUCUGGAAAGCAGGGAGACUGGACUACGGAGCCAGCCCUCCAGGGUUGGAACUGAGUUUGAAUCUCAGCUUGACUACUUACUAGGAUCUAAGGGACCUGCUGGUCUCCAGCUGAUUCGGUCCAGGAGGAAAAACCUCCCACUUGCUCCUCUCGGGCUCCCUGCAAGGAGAGAGUAGAGACACUCCUGCCACCCAGUUGCAAGAAGUCGCCACUUCCCCCUCCAGCCGACUGAAAGUUCGGGCGACGUCUGGGCCGUCAUUUGAAGGCGUUUCCUUUUCUUUAAGAACAAAGGUUGGAGCCCAAGCCUUGCGGCGCGGUGCAGGAAAGUACACGGCGUGUGUUGAGAGAAAAAAAAUACACACACGCAAUGACCCACGAGAAAGGGAAAGGGGAAAACACCAACUACCCGGGCGCUGGGCUUUUUCGACUUUUCCUUUAAAAAGAAAAAAGUUUUUCAAGCUGCGCGGGCUUCCUGUGCGCGGCCGAGCCCGGGCCCAGCGCCGCCUGCAGCCUCGGGAAGGGAGCGGAUAGCGGAGCCCCGAGCCGCCCGCAGAGCAAGCGCGGGGAACCAAGGAGACGCUCCUGGCACUGCAGAUAACUUGUCUGCAUUUCAAGAACAACCUACCAGAGACCUUACCUGUCACCUUGGCUCUCCCACCCAAUGGAGAUGGCUCUAAUGGUGGCACAAACCAGGAAGGGGAAAUCUGUGGUUUAAAUUCUUUAUGCCUCAUCCUCUGAGUGCUGAAGGCUUGCUGUAGGCUGUAUGCUGUUAAUGCUAAUCGUGAUAGGGGUUUUUGCCUCCAACUGACUCCUACAUAUUAGCAUUAACAGUGUAUGAUGCCUGUUACUAGCAUUCACAUGGAACAAAUUGCUGCCGUGGGAGGAUGACAAAGAAGCAUGAGUCACCCUGCUGGAUAAACUUAGACUUCAGGCUUUAUCAUUUUUCAAUCUGUUAAUCAUAAUCUGGUCACUGGGAUGUUCAACCUUAAACUAAGUUUUGAAAGUAAGGUUAUUUAAAAGAUUUAUCAGUAGUAUCCUAAAUGCAAACAUUUUCAUUUAAAUGUCAAGCCCAUGUUUGUUUUUAUCAUUAACAGAAAAUAUAUUCAUGUCAUUCUUAAUUGCAGGUUUUGGCUUGUUCAUUAUAAUGUUCAUAAACACCUUUGAUUCAACUGUUAGAAAUGUGGGCUAAACACAAAUUUCUAUAAUAUUUUUGUAGUUAAAAAUUAGAAGGACUACUAACCUCCAGUUAUAUCAUGGAUUGUCUGGCAACGUUUUUUAAAAGAUUUAGAAACUGGUACUUUCCCCCAGGUAACGAUUUUCUGUUCAGGCAACUUCAGUUUAAAAUUAAUACUUUUAUUUGACUCUUAAAGGGAAACUGAAAGGCUAUGAAGCUGAAUUUUUUUAAUGAAAUAUUUUUAACAGUUAGCAGGGUAAAUAACAUCUGACAGCUAAUGAGAUAUUUUUUCCAUACAAGAUAAAAAGAUUUAAUCAAAAAAUUUCAUAUUUGAAAUGAAGUCCCAAAUCUAGGUUCAAGUUCAAUAGCUUAGCCACAUAAUACGGUUGUGCGAGCAGAGAAUCUACCUUUCCACUUCUAAGCCUGUUUCUUCCUCCAUAUGGGGAUAAUACUUUACAAGGUUGUUGUGAGGCUUAGAUGAGAUAGAGAAUUAUUCCAUAAGAUAAUCAAGUGCUACAUUAAUGUUAUAGUUAGAUUAAUCCAAGAACUAGUCACCCUACUUUAUUAGAGAAGAGAAAAGCUAAUGAUUUGAUUUGCAGAAUAUUUAAGGUUUGGAUUUCUAUGCAGUUUUUCUAAAUAACCAUCACUUACAAAUAUGUAACCAAACGUAAUUGUUAGUAUAUUUAAUGUAAACUUGUUUUAACAACUCUUCUCAACAUUUUGUCCAGGUUAUUCACUGUAACCAAAUAAAUCUCAUGAGUCUUUAGUUGAUUUAAAAUAAUUUUUAUGGCCCAUUUUCUUUUGCAAAGUACAAAUUAUAAUUCCAGAAGCUAUCUGCCAAAAAAAGACAAUGGAAGAAAAUUAUGAGGACACUAAAGGGAACAUUCCUGACUCCUAGGACACAGUAUUCUCAUAGGGAUUCCUCCUGACCAGUCAUUACAAAAAUUCUUGGAGCAUGAGCAAGACUGAGUCUGUGUUUGGAUUGGAGGAAGGGGUAAGUAACAAGGUAUAUAUAUGUAUAUGUGUGUGUGUGUGUGUGUGUGUGUGUGUGUGUGUGUGCGCGCGCGUUUGUGUUUAAGUUACAAACUAAGGAUGGUUUUAAAAAAUUGCAAAAUGUUAAGAGAUUUAUCUAGGAUCUGACCCACUUCCCCAGAAAUUUACGGAAUUCAAGACCAAGCCUUUCGUAUUCACUGUCAUCAGUUAGAUGGACCCAGUAGCUAAAAAAUUAAGGAGAAAAAAAAUAGAGGAAUAUGAGGGAAAAAGUCAAGUCAGAGGACUGAAGAAUAUAUACAGAACAUAGAAUAUUAGAAAUUUUCUGAAAAUAGAUGAUAGCAAAUACCUCAAGAAAGUGAGGAAACGUGAAAAGGGAGCUUAAAGAAAAAUAAUAGAGUCCAUACAUGGGACACAAGCACAAAAAGCUGACUGAGCAUGUGGUUCUCUACUAAUAAUAACUGGAAAACAGUGAAACCAGCAGGAAAAACUUGCACAUAAGAGUUUAACUUUCCACUUUGGGUUUCAAAUUCUCCCAUAGCAAUAAGAGUAAGUGAAAUAAUGUUCACAUAAGGAUUUUUUUUUUUUCUAUUACUGUAGUGUUUUGUUUUGUUUUGUUUUGGUUUUGGUUUUUGGUGGUUUUUUUUUUUUUGAGACAAAGUCUCGCUCUUGUCCCCCAGUCUGGAGUGCAAUGUCAUGAUCUUGGCUCACUGCAACCUCCGCCUCCCGGGUUCAAGUGAUUCUCCUGCCUCAGCCUCCCAAGUGGCUGGGAUUACAGGUGCGUACCACCACGCCCAGCUAAUUUUUUGUAUUUUAAGCAGAGACGGGGUUUCACCAUGUUGGCCAGGCUGGUCUCGAACUCCUGACCUCAGGUGAUCCAUCCAUCUCAGCCUCCCAAAGUGCUGGGAUUACAGGUGUGAGCCACCGCACCCGGCCUGUUACUGUAGUGUUUUAACAAAUCUAAGUGUAAUAGUAUUAGUCUUCAUUCAUCUAAGACAUACAAGUACUGGAAUUUUUUAGGUGGGUUCCUCAAAUGUCAUCACAGUGGUGUCUUCUCUACAUUCAGUCACUCUUCCGCCCUUCUCUGUAAUGCUCAGGGAUUUCCCAGUUCACUAGCACUUAACAUAGUAUGUCCUUACUUACUUUGGGGUAUAAAUGACUGCAAUAGAAGAAGUGAUAUCCUUGAGGGAUGAAACACGAUCUUGCAUAUUCAUAUCCCUUUCAAAUGUUUACUGACUUAAUCACACCAUUAGUUUUCUAAGUCCAAGUCUAAAAACAGAAAUGAGUUUAAAUACAGUGAACAUUUCAUUUUCACUAUACCACUAAGCUGAAAGAAAUGAUUUUUGGUAAAUAAAAGUUCAUCACAGUGAAAAGUUCUACAUAUAACUGAAGAUCAAAGGAUUCUCACCUGGGAAGCUUGUCAAGAUGCAUGUUCCCAAGCUCCCAGGCUCCCACUCCCAGAGAUUCUAAUACUGUAAUGGAGCUGAGGACACUACAUUUUUAACAGGCUGACCAGGUAGUUCAGAUUCAGGUGGUUCCUAAACCAACUCUGAGGAAGUAGUGGUUUUAUAUACGAUGCUACUGUUGAUGUGGCUACUAGGAAUGGUGCUCAGCAGAAAUCCUGCAACAUAUGGAUCUGUUUACACACUAUUCACUGUGUAAUGAGAGUCUGCAACAUAGGCUAAGUAAUAAGAGAUGUCUUGUGGUUGACCUCUCUGGAGAUAAGCAGCAAUGAAAUUCCAAUGAAGUUUCAUCAUCUCUCAUCACCAAAACCAUCCUAACCACCUCAAUAAAAUACACCUGACUUCCCCCGCUCCCCCGACCCACCACCCCAAAACCAGCUGCCCUAUGUUCUACCAAAAGCUGCAACCAACCAAUGACCUGAUACUAACCCCAAUCUAUCAGCUGCUGCCUAGUGCAACAGAGAGGGAAAGUCAAUGAGAAGGAAUUGGGUGCCAGUUCUUGCUUUGCAAGGAGUGGGUUGACUAAUGAGACAGCCACAAAUGUCACUGCCAUCCCAUCUCACCCUUUCACCUGUGCUGCAAGGCUUCAACAAUCAUACCCAGUCUCCACUUAGGAAAAUUCUGUCCUUUCUCAAAUGCUGGCCACUCAGCAAUGUGCUCCCUUAAUCCAGGCCAAGCACAUAGUAAAAGAACUCCAAAAAGGGUUACAGCCAAAAGUGAUCUUUCUCCUCCAUACUCCCAAAGCAGAUUAUAGCUCCUCCAUAAACGUGCUUCGCAUUGUGCCCCACGUUUGGUUUGUUACUUGUGUAUACAUUAUCGUCUCUUCUAGAUUGAGCUUCUGUAGGAAAGGAGAAUCCUUUUCAAUUUUUUGGUAUUACACCCAGCUCAGGACCUUGCUCAGUUGCUUAAAUUGAAUGAGAAAAUGUAUCUAAGUACCCACUGAUGUUGGAAAUUCAACUUGUUCCAAUAUUGAGGACUGCCUAUACCUGGCAUAUGCGUGUCCCAAUUUGAGAAAUUGUUUUUCAAGUUGACUUGUAUGGAUUCCUUACAGACGCUCAAGCAUCAGUUUGGUUUUCCCUAAAUCCUGCAGAUCAGGAAGGCAGUAUCCAUGUUUGCUUUAAGAAAUUUCAUUACUAUAAAUAUAUGAAAUAUUAUAAAUAUAAAAAUUCAUAUAUUAUAAAUAUAUGAAAUUUUGUCUGCAGAAUUUUUUUCUCAACAGGCAAUCCUGACAUAAUAACCAAUUUUGAGAUGCUUCAAAAAUAACACUGCAGUAGUAGCCACUCCUAAAACAAAAUAUUUCCCCUUUCCUUCAAUAUAUGUAAUCACAUAUGACAUAUAAAAUCUGCUUAUUGGAUAAAUUUAUCUUUAAAAGACUAUCUAUAUUUAUUAAAAGUUAAAAUACAUAUACUCUUUGACCUGGAAUCAAGUACAACAAUGUAUUUUACAGAGCUACCAGCACACGUGUGGAAUUAUAUAUGUACAAGGCUACUAACUGAAGUAUUAGUAUAGUAACAAAAAUUAAAAAUCAACCAUAAAUAGGGAAUAAAUAAUGGUACACCUAUGAAUGAAAUACUAACUUCUAAAACACAAAGUAAAAAGAAAGGGAAAAUAAGGAAAACUGGAUUAAUCCAACAUAUGACAGGAAAGGAGAAAAAAAUAAUGCAAAGAAAUGAUAAUCACAGUAAAGUGAAUACAAAUUAAAAUUUAUCUACUAAAAGACAGUAAUUCAAAGACUAGAUUUAAAAGGAAAAUAAGUUUUAUGCUAUUUACAAAAGACAGACUUAAAACCUAACAACAUAAAAAUGCUGAAAGUAAUAUACCAGGUAAACACUAAAAAAAAAAAAAAAAAAAAAAAAAACUAGUAUUAACAAUAGAACCUGAUUUUCUAAAAAAUAGAUUAAGAAAACUAGAUUAAAGGAGAAAAUCAUUAUUACCGAGAUAGAGAGGAUCAUUACUUAAAUGAUAAAAAGAAGCAAUUUAUCAGCACGUUUAAAAAUCCCAAAACAGAAUACACAGUGCUAACAAAAUCAUCUUAAAAUAAAAUAAGCAAAUGCUGAUUUAGCCAUAGGAGAAACCGCCAAAUCCACAAUCAUUUUAGGAGAAUGGGUUUAAGAAAGGAAAAAAAAAAAAAAGAUUUCUGUAUGCUCUUAAGAGAAAAUCUAAAAAAUAAUGACAUGAAAAAGUUGAAAGGAAUGGAAAAAUAUGUACCAUUAAAAGGAAACCCGACGUAUGAAUGCCAUUAUCAGACAAAACAGAUUUUUUUCUUUUUGAGAUGGAGUCUCACUCUGUGGCCCAGGCUGGAGUGCAGUGGCACAAUCUCUGCUCACAGCAAGCUCCGCCUCCCAGGUUCAUGCCAUUCUCCUGCCUCAGCCUCCCAAGUAGCUGGGACUACAGGCACCCACCACCACACCAGGCUAGUAUUUGUAUUUUUAGUAGAGACGGGGUUUCAUCGUGUUAGCCAGGAUGGUCUCAAUCUUCUGACCUCGUGAUCUGCCCACCUCAGCCUCCCAAAGUGCUGGGAUUACAGGCAUGAGCCACCGCGCCCAGCCAGACAAAACAGAUUUUAAGACAACUAAGAAGUUAACAAGCUGACCCUACAAUAAGCAUGAAAAUUUUGAAAAAGAAUAGGAAAGGAGAACUCACCAUAAGAGAAAUUGAAACUUGUUAUAAAGCUAUAGUUGUUAAAACGGUGUUACUACAGUGGUACAUGGACAGAUAAAUGGACCAAUGAAGCAGACCCAGGCACUGAAAGGAACCUUUUAUAUGACAGCAUGGCACAAUCAGUAAGAAUAGAGAGGAAAUAGGCCAGGCACGGUGGCUCACGCCUGUAAUCCCAGUACUUUGGGAGGCCAAGGCAGGCAGAUCACCUGAGGUCAGGAGUUCGAGACCAGCCUGGUCAACAUGGUGAAACCGCGUCUCUACUAAAAAUACAAAAAUUAGCUGGUCGUGGUGGCAGGCACCUGUAAUCCCAGCUACUCGGGAGGCUGAGGCAGGAGAAUCACUUGAACCCGGCUAGCGGAGGCUGCAGUGAGCCGAGAUCACGCCAUUGCACUCCAGCCUAGGCAACAAGAGUGAAACUCCAUCACAAAAAAAAAAGAAAAAGAGUAGACAGGAAAUAAAUGGUCCAGAAUAACUGCCUAUCCUUGUGGAGGAGAGGGUGAUUCAAAAUUAGGUCCCUUUCCUCACUCUAUAUGCAAAAAACAAACUUCAAAUAAAUUAUACAAUUAAAUGUGAAAAUCAAGACUUUAAAAUAAACAAUGCAGUAGGCUGCUUUAUAAUAUCAAGUUAGGGAAGGCUUUCUUAAAUUUCAUAAACAUAAAUCAUAGAGGAAAAGAUGAACUGUCUACCUUAAAAUUAAAGACGAUAUAAACAAAAUUAAAAGGUAAGCCAGACAAAAGAAAUAUUUGUAGUGACAACGGUUUAACUUUCUUUCUUUCUUUUUUUUUUUUUGAGACGGAAUCUCACUCUGUCACCCAGGCUGGAGUACACUGGUGCAAUCUCAGCUCACUGCAACCUCCACCUCCCAGGUUCAAGCGAUUCUUGUGCCUCAGCCUCCCAAGUAGCUGGGAUGACAGGUACGCACCACCACACCCAGCUAAUUUUUUGUAUUUUUAGCAGAGACGGGGUUUCACCAUGUUGGCCAGGCUGGUCUCGAAUUCCUGACCUCAGGUGAUCCAUCUGCCUCAGCCUCCCAAAGUGCUGGGAUUACAGGAGUGAGCCACUGCACCUGGCCCACAAGGGUUUCACUUUCUAAAAAUAUAAAGAACUGGCCAGGUGCAAUGGCUCACACUUGUAAUCCUAGCACUUUGGGAGGGCAAGGAGAGCAGAUCGCUAGAGGCCAGAAGCUGGAGAACAGCCUGGCCAACAUGGUGAAACCCCAUCUCUACUUUAAAAAUAUAAAAAUUAGUUGGGUGUGGUGGCACUUGCCUAUAAUCCCAGCUACUUGGCUACUCAGGAGGCCGAGGCAGGGGAAUCGCUUGAAUCCAGUAGGCAGAGGCUACAGUGAGCCAAGAUCAUGCCACUGCACUACAGCUUGGGCAACAGAGUGAGACUUGGUCUCAAAAAAAAAAAAAAUUAUAUAUAUAUAUCUUAUAUAUAUACACUAUUAUAUAUAUACACACACACACACACACACACACACACACACACACACACAAUUAAUAUGAGAUGCCCAAAAAUCCAAUUGUAAAAAGGGGCAAAGGUUGUAAACUGGUAAUUCAUAAAAACAAAUGAAGAGAUGCUUAUUGGUACUAUAUGCUCAGUAUUAAGCAAAUUAAAUGAGAUAGGAUCGUGCAUAUUCAACCAACAAAAUAUCUGAAUGUCUGAAAAUAAUAAAUGUUAAUGAGGGAGUGGAGAAAAUGGGAAUGCUCAUACUGCUGAUAGAGAGUAAACUGGUACAACUAUUGUGGCAGCCAAUUAAUAUUUAGUAAAGCUGAAGAUGCAUGGUCCACUGUGGUACAGGCCCUGGAGAUAUUAUCAAAUGUGUACACAAAGAAACACGCACAAGGAUAUUUUCUGCGAUACUGUAAUACUCAAAAGCCAAUGACAUCCUCAGUGGUCAUCAAUAAGAAAAUGAAUUAAUGAUGGGAUUAAUCAUAUAAUGAAAUACUAUAUAGCAGUUGAAAUGAAUGUACUCUUUACAUGUAUCAACAUGCUAUACAUAAAAAACAAUGAUGAGCAAUAAAAGCAAAUUGCAAAAGGAUAUAUAUUAUGAAACCAAUUAUGUUUAGUUUUAAAACACAGAGAAUACUAUGGAUUGUAGUAAAAAAAAAUAUAAAAUCAUGAAGAGUAAGGACAGGUACAAACAGGAUAGUGGUUCUUC